rnacentral:rRNA from 1 species
ACUACGGGCGGCAGCAGUGAGGAAUAUUGGUCAAUGGGCGGAAGCCUGAACCAGCCAAGUCGCGUGAGGGAUUAAGGCCCUGCGGGUCGUAAACCUCUUUUGCCGGGGAGCAGAGGUCCGGACGUGUCCGGGCCGGGAGAGUACCCGGAGAAAAAGCAUCGGCUAACCCCGUGCCAGCAGCCGCGGUAAUACGGAGGAUGCGAGGGUUAUCGGGAUUUAUUGGGUUAAAAGGGUGCGUAGGCGGGCAUUAAGGCAGGCGGUAAAAUGUCGGGGCUAAACCGCGGCAUGCCGUGGAAACUGGGUGCCUUGAGUGGGCGAGAGGUAGGCGGAAUGGGUGGUGUAGCGGUGAAAUGCAUAGAUAUCACGCAGAACCCCGAUUGCGAAGGCAGCAUACCGGCGCCCUACUGACGCUGAGGCACGAAAGUGCGGGUAUCGAACAGGAUUAGAUACCCCGGUAGUC